GGCCUUGCUCUUAUGUCAUCUGACUAAAGGUUUCAUAGACCAAAAAUAACCAUCCAACCUGUUGGAAUACUGAAACAAUUGCUGCCUGCUUUCCACACACUACAUAAAAUAUGUGGAUAUCCUAAAUUCUACAAAAAAAGAUUUGUAAGCAAAUCAAGCAAUACUGGGACUCCCUCUUCUCCAGAAGAGACAUCAUGGCCUCCAUGCAGAGGAAUGUGUGGAUAGACAUAUAUUUAAGGAAGACACUAAACCAGAAAAUACUACAUUACACCCUCUUAAAAGACUUCUAAGAUUGUUGUCAUGCCUACCACUGACAUUCAGAUGAUGUGUAUUCUUGUUUGUGAUUUCAUGUUUGGAGCUGAUGAAGGAGUUUGAAGUCUCCAGAGCAGCAAGGAGAGUGGGGAGUAGAACUCAUCAUCUUUAGGUCACUCAUCACCG
rnacentral:lncRNA from 1 species